ensembl:miRNA
UACAGGUCUGUAGCCUGGGAGCAAUGGGAUGUAUGGUAUAGGGGUAGCCUCGUGCUCCUGGGCUACAAACCUGUA